rnacentral:rRNA from 1 species
UACGUAGGGUGCAAGCGUUGUCCGGAAUUAUUGGGCGUAAAGAGCUCGUAGGCGGUGUGUCGCGUCGGCCGUGAAAACCUGCAGCUUAACUGUGGGCUUGCGGUCGAUACGGGCAUCACUGGAGUUCGGCAGGGGGAGACUGGAAUUCCUGGUGUAGCGGUGAAAUGCGCAGAUAUCAGGAGGAACACCGGUGGCGAAGGCGGGUCUCUGGGCCGAUACUGACGCUGAGGAGCGAAAGCGUGGGGAGCGAACAGG